rnacentral:rRNA from 1 species
CAAGGAAUUUUCGGCAAUGGGCGCAAGCCUGACCGAGCAACGCCGCGUGGAGGAUGACGGCCUUCGGGUUGUAAACUCCUUUUGCGGGGAUGAUGAUGACCGUACCCCGCGAAUCAGGCUCGGCUAACUCUGUGCCAGCAGCCGCGGUAAGACAGAGGAGCCAAGCGUUGUCCGGAUUGACUGGGCGUAAAGCGCACGCAGGCGGUGGGGCACGUGGGGUGUGAAAGCGGCCCGCUUAACGGGGCGAGGC